CCUCUUUUACCUUUACAGGGAAGGAAACAUAAGAGACAGUCCGAGGAUCCUGGACUUCUAGCAGCAUCAGAUGUCUUUUUACGAGGUCAUUGAAAGCGUUGGAAUGAGAAUGCUGCUCACCUUGGAUGAUUUUGCCUGGCAGGUGUUAUAUAAAUGCGCAUUAGCAGAAAACUGUAGAGCUAAGGAAGGAGCAUCAGAUGAUGGAGAGUCCGCUUUAAACCUUGGUUAACCUCUCCAUUUGGUAGUGAAAUUUCCCAGUGUGAAAUUUUUAGUCCCACAUUCAGUUAGGGACUAAAGACUCUGACUUGGAACCCACACCAGCAGGACCAUUUCCCACUUUUUCCUCGAUUGCUUUUGGCAAUGAAAGCAGCACAGGAUUUUAGAGUGAGGAUUUCAGUUUCCAGGUGGCAGCAUCUGCUACAGAAUUUGGGUAUCACUUUAACACAUUUUGUGUUGGCUGCGAUUUUUUUUUUUAAAUCAACUCUUUUGUGAGUUUGAUGGAAUUAAAUUUUUAGAGUUUAUAAAUUGGACCCCCUUUACCUAUGCUAGUAUGUUUCAAAAUAAGCAUACAUUGUGUUAAUUUAAAACACAGGUACGUAGGCAUGUAUGGACAAGAACUUAUAUAGCAUAGUUCUAAAGCUCUUUGUACAGAAAUAAGCUGUAGUCGUGAAUACCAGGAAGAGACUUUUAUGCUCAGGUUUUAAUUUUCUUAAUUUUAAUUACGCUUUAUAUAUUACCUUUUACAGCAGCUCUAAUAGUAAGAUGCUUUUGAAGAAUGAAUGAGAUUUCAGCAUAUACAGAAUCCUAUCCAUACAUGCCUGCUGUCUCACUCUUUUUUUGAUAAAUGCAGUAGCGUAACUUUUAUAAUUCUGAUUCUACACUUUGCUGUUUUUGCUGGCUCUUACUUGUGGUGCUUUGCUUUUGUGUGUAUGUGUGUGGGCUUUUUUUUUUUUACAUUUUUACUGUGAGUUCACAUUUAUUAGAUUUUAUCUGUGGGAAUUUUCUGCCACCAGAGUUGAGGGUGGAUUUCCUUAGAGAAAAAUUGCCUUUGCUUCUCUCAGAUAGGUGGAGUCACUCCAACACCACAACCACUGGAAACUCAACUCUUAACUAGAGAUCCAAGGGACCUCAAGUUAUUUCUGGCCACAAACUUGUACAAGGUCUGGCUUGUGGUUCUGUAUUGUUGGAGGUGCAGGAAUCUCCCCCUUUCAAGAUGUGAGGCAGGUGAUUGCUUUUGUAGCCCUGAGGUGUGACUUUAAUGCUAUUUCUCCCAAACACUGAGGUUCUCUGGUAGGUCCUAAUAGAUGCUCCACUUUGGGAGUUUGCUUGUUUGUUUGUUUUUUCCUGCCUCAAUCAAUGCUAUGAAGCUGUGAAAACAAAAGCUAAAGUUCACCCAGACCAGCAAAUGCUUCCAAGACAGAAAACACUUUUAGUCCCCUCCCCCUUCACAUCUUUCAAUUUCCUGCUUCCUUUAAUCCUUGGCUUCUUAUACUCCUUGCUAAGCAUCCAGGUCCUACCUAGCUAACUAUUUUUAAUACUUUUCCCAGCAUUUUUAGGUUUCAAUGUAAGGAUCAGUCAGAUAGCUACUUGGAAAGACCCCCAGAAAUUGAUAGAAAUCCUCAGUCAAUUCUUAAGAUGGCUUUGAACCUUUCUCAAUUUAGCCUGUGUACUUGCCAUGGCAGGGCCAAGCAUCCCUUUUACAGAAUUCAUGACAGACAGGCCUCCAAACCCACUUUACUAUUCAGUGCUCACUACUUGUUCAGAAUCUCAUUCCAUUCAGACAAUUCCGAUUUUUAGCCCCUUUGUUCUUACGUGGAACUAAAUUCUAGCUCCCUUUAAUUCCUCCCAGUUGUUUAAUAUUCUACUCUUUGAGGCAACACAAGAUAAAUCUUCCUUUUCCAUAUGGCAUGAUUUGAGAUCUCCAUCCCCAAGUGUCAGAACCGUUGCUGACUUCCCUCAGUUUGGUACCUAGUUUGUCAGCUCCGUGGGCAUUGAAUAUUCAGAGCAGCAUCAGAUAUUCCAGAUACGGCCCCACCAUGUCACAAUGCACGGAUACUCUAGCUCUUCCUGUGCUCUCUGUGGCUUUCUGUACUAGCUCUGUCACAUGGCUCAUUUCAAUUCACUGAGCUAAGCAAUUCUUCCCUCCACUCUCUUCUGCUCCGACCCCCUAGUCUGAUCUUUUUCAUGUGAACUGUUUGAAGCCAGAUCUUAGUCAUCCUGAAAUUAUAGCUAAUAUGCAUUUUAAAAAGGUAAAUUGAUGGACUUUUAUCCGAUUCCCUUUAGAACAAGCAUAUUAAGCCCUGAUAUGAUUUUAUUAUCUUUGCUGAAGAAUAGUUUCCUUGAAUAUAAAAUAAUCUAGGAUCUCAAAAACUCCUCAGUUUGGUUUAAAAACCUAGCACUUUGACUUGAUAUAUUGCCAGUCAAUUCUGUCUGCAGAUGUUAUGCACUUGUAAUUAAUAAUAACUUAAUCUAUUGAAUUAAUAAUAAGCCUCUUGCAAUUAUAGUGACUCUCAAAAGAUUUUAUAGAGGCAUUUCAUUUACAAUCAUAGGGAAGAGAUUAAAAUUCUUGAAAUUUAAUUUUGUCCAUAUUUGAUGUCAGUUGCUCUUUUAUAAUGACUGAAUUAGUUAAUUUCCUGCUGAUUUUAGUCUUAGAGUACAUUAUAUAUCAAAAAAAGCCUAUUAGUUAUAAUUUAGAUUCUUGUCAUAAAUAUUUUCAGGAGGCUCUUCCAGCAAUGGUAGUAGCUGUUUGAGGUGUUAGAGUCUUCUUAAUCCAUUUCUACAGUUAUUUUGCUCUUCUCAGAAUAAAAUCUUGGUCCCUCUUUUUCCUGUUGUGAUUUCUUGACUUCUGACUAUGGGGUUCACUAGUUCUGUGCAGAUUUACUGUGAUCACAUUUCUGACAUGAUAUGUUCUAAAUUUCCAGCAAUGAAUUUGGUGUCUAAUACUAAGAUGAUUCAUGAAACUAAUUGUACAGGGACAUAAAGCAUGUCUAAAAGACAAUGAGUGGCAAUUUUAGUGCCUGUGAACAUACUUGACAAAGAUUAACCAGGAGAAUUUGUAGGUUAAAGUGAUUUUAAGGUUCACAUGAAAGGAUUUGUUUAGUGAACUAGAAAAAAAAAAAAAUCCUUACCUAGAGAUAAGAGAUUAGAAAGUAACAAGUUAGGAAGGUAGCUGAAAACUUCUUGAAGUAAUUAAAGCAAUUCAAGCAAUAAAUUAAACAUGCUUUAUUGUUAAUGGUGAAAAAUGUUUUUUUCAUUGAUUUUGAUUGGAAACAUGAAUUAACUCUAAACCUUAUCUAUUUUUUGAAAAGGACGUGUUAUGUUGAUAGCUGUUAGUGCGUGACCUGGAGAUAUUAUUUUAAAGCUUAAAUUCAUCUUAAUAAAAGGGCUAAAAUCAUAGAAAACAUUAGUUAUUAUUCCACAAAUGACAGUUACUGCCAGCCUUGGUCCGUCUGUAUAGCUUCAGAGCUGCAAAACAGUUUGCCUUAAUCGGUGUGAGAUACUCUAGAAAGAUGUAGAAUAUGUGUGCUUUCUUUGAUGUUGAGAAUCUCCUAGAAUAUCUACUGUUUGGUGGGGGGGGGUUCCCAUUGUGACUCGGCAGGUUAAAAACCUGAUAGUACCUAUGAGGAUGUAGGUUCUAUCCCUGGCCUCGCUCAGUGGGUUGAGGAUCCAUUGUUGCCAUGAGCUGCAGUGUAGGUCCUAGAUCCCGUGUUGCUGUGACUCUGGUGUAGGCUAGCAGCUGCAGCUCCUAUUUGACCCCUAGCCUGGAAACUUCCAUGUGCCCCAGGUGUGGCUCUAAAAGGACAAAAAAAAAAAAAAAAAAAAAAAAAANAAA
rnacentral:lncRNA from 1 species